UACGUAGGGGGCGAGCGUUGUCCGGAAUUAUUGGGCGUAAAGGGCUCGUAGGCGGUCUGUUGCGUCGGGAGUGAAAACUCAGGGCUUAACCCUGAGCCUGCUUCCGAUACGGGCAGACUAGAGGUAUGCAGGGGAGAACGGAGUUCCUGGUGUAGCGGUGAAAUGCGCAGAUAUCAGGAGGAACACCGGUGGCGAAGGCGGUUCUCUGGGCAUUACCUGACGCUGAUGCGCGAAAGCUAGGGGAGCAAACAGG
rnacentral:rRNA from 1 species